rnacentral:rRNA from 1 species
AGAGUUUGAUCAUGGCUCAGGAUGAACGCUAGCGGCAGGCCUAACACAUGCAAGUCGAGGGGUAACAUAGAGAAGCUUGCUUUUCUGAUGACGACCGGUGCACGGGUGCGUAACGCGUAUAGAAUCUACCUUAUACUGAGGGAUAGCCUUUGGAAACGAAGAUUAAUACCUCAUAGUAUGAUUAAUUGGCAUCAAUAUAUCAUUAAAGGUUACGGUAUAAGAUGACUAUGCGUUCUAUUAGCUAGAUGGUGUGGUAACGGCACACCAUGGCAACGAUAGAUAGGGGCCCUGAGAGGGGGAUCCCCCACACUGGUACUGAGACACGGACCAGACUCCUACGGGAGGCAGCAGUGAGGAAUAUUGGACAAUGGAGGCAACUCUGAUCCAGCCAUGCCGCGUGCAGGAAGACUGCCCUAUGGGUUGUAAACUGCUUUUAUACAGGAAGAAACCUUUUCACGUGUGAAAAGCUGACGGUACUGUAAGAAUAAGGAUCGGCUAACUCCGUGCCAGCAGCCGCGGUAAUACGGAGGAUCCAAGCGUUAUCCGGAAUCAUUGGGUUUAAAGGGUCCGUAGGUGGAUAAUUAAGUCAGAGGUGAAAGUUUGCGGCUCAACCGUAAAAUUGCCUUUGAUACUGGUUAUCUUGAAUUAUUGUGAAGUGGUUAGAAUAUGUAGUUGUAGCGGGUGAAAUGCAUAGAUAUUACAUAGAAUACCAAUUGCGAAGGCAGAUCACUAACAAUAUAUUGACACUGAUGGACGAAAGCGUGGGGAGCGAACAGGAUUAGAUACCCUGGUAGUCCACGCCGUAAACGAUGGUCACUAGCUGUUCGAGCUUCGGGUUUGAGUGGCUAAGAGAAAUUGAUAAGUGACCCACCUGGGGGAGUACGUUCGCAAGAAUGAAACUCAAGGAAUUGACGGG